rnacentral:rRNA from 1 species
AAUAUAGAAGAAAGUUUUUUAAAAUUUUAAAAAAAUUAAGGUUAAGAUAAAAAAAAUUUGGCUAAUUUUGUGCCAGCUGCAGCGGUUAGACAAAAAAAUUUAUUAAUAUUUUUCUGAAAGAUAAAAAAAAUAAUUAAAAUUUAAUCUAUUUUAUUAUAAAAGUGUAAUUUUAUAAAUUUAAAAAAGAUAAAUAAAGAUUUGUAUUAUAAAAAUUAAUAUAAAACUAGGAUUAGAUACCCUAUUAUAAAAUAAUUUAGUUGUUAUUACGUGAAAAACAUUAAAACAAAAAAAUUUGGCGGUAUUUUAAUCUGUUCAGAGGAAUUUGCUCUGUUAAGGAUAUAACGCCAGUAUCUUACUCUAAAUUGUAUGAAACAGUUUGUAUACCGCUAUUUUUAUAAUAUUGAAAAAUUAUUAUAAAAAUUAUUUUUAAUAAAAAGAUUAGGUCAAGGUGCAGCUUAUUUUAGAGAUUGAGGUGAAUUACAAUAGAAUGUAUAAGUACGAAUCUAGUAAUUGAAAAUUACUAGAUAAGAAGAAUUUGAAAGUAAAUAUAAAAUAAAAUGUUAUAUUGAAUAUAGCUCUAGAAUAUGUACAUAUUGCCCGUCACUCCCAUUUAAUGUUGGGAUAAGUCGUAACAAAGUAAGGGUAUCGGAAGAUGUUCUU